GCCUGGGUGGCUCAUUCAGUUAAGCAUCCGACUUCAGCUCAGAUCAUGAUCUCAUGUUUCGUGGGUUCGAGCCCACCCUUAGGCU
rnacentral:tRNA from 1 species